UAGGGAAUCUUCCGCAAUGGGCGAAAGCCUGACGGAGCAACGCCGCGUGAAUGAUGAAGGUCUUAGGAUUGUAAAAUUCUUUCACCGGGGACGAUAAUGACGGUACCCGGAGAAGAAGCCCCGGCUAACUUCGUGCCAGCAGCCGCGGUAAUACGAAGGGGGCUAGCGUUGCUCGGAAUUACUGGGCGUAAAGGGAGCGUAGGCGGACAUUUAAGUCAGGGGUGAAAUCCCGGGGCUCAACCUCGGAAUUGCCUUUGAUACUGGGUGUCUUGAGUAUGAGAGAGGUGUGUGGAACUCCGAGUGUAGAAGUGAAAUUCGUAGAUAUUCGGAAGAACACCAGUGGCGAAGGCGACACACUGGCUCAUUACUGACGCUGAGGCUCGAAAGCGUGGGGAGCAAACAGG
rnacentral:rRNA from 1 species